UGUUGGUCCGAGUACAGUGGUGUUUGCAUCUAAUUGAUCACAACCAGUUACAGAUUUACAGAUUUCUUUGUUCUUUCUCCACCCUCAUUACUUCACUUGACUAGCCAAAA
rnacentral:Y_RNA from 1 species